UGAGAUGAUGACCUCGGCAGGUCCUGAGUUAUGAUGAAGAUCUUGAGUGCUGAUCA
rnacentral:snoRNA from 1 species